AGAGUUUGAUCCUGGCUCAGGAUGAACGCUGGCGGCGUGCUUAACACAUGCAAGUCGAACGGGAAUUACUUUAUUGAAACUUCGGUCGAUUUAAUUUAAUUCUAGUGGCGGACGGGUGAGUAACGCGUGGGUAACCUGCCUUAUACAGGGGGAUAACAGUCAGAAAUGGCUGCUAAUACCGCAUAAGCACACAGAGCUGCAUGGCUCGGUGUGAAAAACUCCGGUGGUAUAAGAUGGACCCGCGUUGGAUUAGCUUGUUGGUGGGGUAACGGCCCACCAAGGCGACGAUCCAUAGCCGGCCUGAGAGGGUGAACGGCCACAUUGGGACUGAGACACGGCCCAAACUCCUACGGGAGGCAGCAGUGGGGAAUAUUGCACAAUGGGGGAAACCCUGAUGCAGCGACGCCGCGUGAGUGAAGAAGUAUCUCGGUAUGUAAACUUCUAUCAGCAGGGAAGAUAAUGACGGUACCUGACUAAGAAGCCCCGGCUAACUACGUGCCAGCAGCCGCGGUAAUACGUAGGGGGCAAGCGUUAUCCGGAUUUACUGGGUGUAAAGGGAGCGUAGACGGCGCAGCAAGUCUGAUGUGAAAGGCAGGGGCUUAACCCCUGGACUGCAUUGGAAACUGCUGUGCUUGAGUGCCGGAGGGGUAAGCGGAAUUCCUAGUGUAGCGGUGAAAUGCGUAGAUAUUAGGAGGAACACCAGUGGCGAAGGCGGCUUACUGGACGGUAACUGACGUUGAGGCUCGAAAGCGUGGGGAGCAAACAGGAUUAGAUACCCUAGUAGUCCACGCCGUAAACGAUGAGUAAUAAGUGUUGGGGGUCAAACUGCAGUGUGACAGUUAACGCAAAUAAAGUACUCCGCCUGAGUAGCACGUUGGCAAGAAUGAAACUCAAAGGAAUUGACGGGGGCCCGCACAAGCGGUGGAGCAUGUGGUUUAAUUCGAAGCAACGCGAAGAACCUUACCAGGUCUUGACAUCGAUCUAAAGGCUCCAGAGAUGGAGAGAUAGCUAUAGAGAAGACAGGUGGUGCAUGGUUGUCGUCAGCUCGUGUCGUGAGAUGUUGGGUUAAGUCCCGCAACGAGCGCAACCCCUGUUGCCAGUUGCCAGCAUUAAGUUGGGGACUCUGGCGAGACUGCCGGUGACAAGCCGGAGGAAGGCGGGGAUGACGUCAAAUCAUCAUGCCCCUUAUGAGCAGGGCUACACACGUGCUACAAUGGCGUAAACAGAGGGAAGCGAAGGAGUGAUCCGGAGCAAAUCUCAAAAAUAACGUCUCAGUUCGGAUUGUAGUCUGCAACUCGACUACAUGAAGCUGGAAUCGCUAGUAAUCGCAGAUCAGAAUGCUGCGGUGAAUAAAAUUCCGGGUCUUGCACUCACCGCCCGUCA
rnacentral:rRNA from 1 species